AUGUUUCUGUUGUAAAAAGCAAAUCUAUUUUCCAAAUAGAAAGUCGAUCAAAAUCGGUAACAUC